rnacentral:rRNA from 1 species
GACGGAAGGUGCAAGCGUUGCUCGGAAUCACUGGGCGUAAAGGGUGCGUAGGCGGCCGUGCAAGUCUGGCGUGAAAGCCCCGGGCUCAGCCCGGGAAGUGCGCUCGAAACUGCGCGGCUCGAGUGCCGGAGGGGAGAGUGGAAUUCCUGGUGUAGCGGUGAAAUGCGUAGAUAUCAGGAGGAAUACCAGUGGCGAAGGCGGCUCACUGGCCCGGUACUGACGCUGAGGUGCGAAAGCGUGGGGAGCAAACAGG